rnacentral:miRNA from 1 species
AGGUGAUGACGUCACUGAUGA